AGAGUGAACGCUGGCGGUAGGCCUAACACAUGCAAGUCGAACGGCAGCACAGUGGUAGCAAUACCAUGGGUGGCGAGUGGCGGACGGGUGAGGAAUACAUCGGAAUCUACCUUUUCGUGGGGGAUAACGUAGGGAAACUUACGCUAAUACCGCAUAAGACCUUCGGGUGAAAGUGGGGGACCUUCGGGCCUCACGCGGAUAGAUGAGCCGAUGUCGGAUUAGCUUGUUGGUGGGGUAAAGCCCACCAAGGCGACGAUCCGUAGCUGGUCUGAGAGGAUGAUCAGCCACACUGGAACUGAGACACGGUCCAGACUCCGUACGGGAGGCAGCAGGUGGGGAAUAGUUGGAACAAGUGGGCGACAAGCCUGACUCCAGCCAUACCGCGUGGGUG
rnacentral:rRNA from 1 species